GACGAACGCUGGCGGCGUGCCUAAUACAUGCAAGUAGAACGCACAGUUUAUACCGUAGCUUGCUACACCAUAGACUGUGAGUUGCGAACGGGUGAGUAACGCGUAGGUAACCUGCCUGGUAGCGGGGGAUAACUAUUGGAAACGAUAGCUAAUACCGCAUAAUAUUAAUUAUUGCAUGAUAAUUAAUUGAAAGGUGCAAUUGCACCACUACCAGAUGGACCUGCGUUGUAUUAGCUAGUAGGUGAGGUAACGGCUCACCUAGGCGACGAUACAUAGCCGACCUGAGAGGGUGAUCGGCCACACUGGGACUGAGACACGGCCCAGACUCCUACGGGGGGCAGCAGUAGGGAAUCUUCGGCAAUGGACGAAAGUCUGACCGAGCAACGCCGCGUGAGUGAAGAAGGUUUUCGGAUCGUAAAGCUCGGUUGUAAGAGAAGAACGGGUGUGAGAGUGGAAAGUUCACACUGUGACGGUAUCUUACCAGAAAGGGACGGCUAACUACGUG
rnacentral:rRNA from 1 species